AUUGAACGCUGGCGGCAGGCCUAACACAUGCAAGUCGAGCGAGCGGCGGACGGGUGAGUAAUGUCUGGGAAACUGCCUGAUGGAGGGGGAUAACUACUGGAAACGGUAGCUAAUACCGCAUACCAUCAGAUGUGCCCAGAUGGGAUUAGCUAGUAGGUGGGGUAACGGCUCACCUAGGCGACGAUCCCUAGCUGGUCUGCGAGGAUGAACAGCAACACUGGAACUGAGUCACGGUCCAGACUCCUACGGUAGGCAGCAGUGGGGAAUAUUGCACAAUGGGCGCAAGCCUGACGCAGCCAUGCCGCGUGUGUGAAGAAGGCCUUCGGGUUGUAAAGCACUUUCAGCGGGGAGGCGUUACCCGCAGAAGAAGCACCGGCUAACUCCGUGCCAGCAGCCGCGGUAAUAC
rnacentral:rRNA from 1 species